GGCCUCCUGGCUCGAGCCCUUGGCCCCCGACUCCCCGCGUUUCGGCGCCCGAUCAGCGCUCCAGGCCGCCCCCUCUCCGCCUUCUCCCAGUGCCUUUCCCUUUCUGAGAGACAGGGUUGCACCAUGUUAGCCUAGCCAGGAUGGUCUCGAUCUCUUGACCUCGUGAUCCACCCACCUCGGCCUCCCAGAGUGCUGGGAUUAUAGGCGUGAACCACUGCGCCUGGCCAAGAAAUUUUAAAAGAAGUUCUUCAGAGAGAAGAAAGAUGAUAUAUUUCAGAAGCAGAUCUACAUUUAAAAAAUGAGCAUCAGGGAAUGAGUAAGUAAAGUGAGCAUGUCGGCCAUGUGCUUCUUAGCUAUAUGAGAAAUCAAUCUCAGAAUCUCAAUUUGAAGCUCUGUUUGCUGGGGCCACAUAUACUACCAAAUACUGCUAUCAACAAAAAGAAGGCAUUACAAAUAGAUAGCAAUGAAAAUUUGUGAAUAAUGAGAAGACAUUUGUGCUUCAAAUGAACACAGCAUAUGCCAGGUUUCAGCCCCAAGGUUUUUCACCUCUGGGAAAUGAGAGCCCAUUAUUCCACCUGACACAUGAAGCAUAAAUAAAAUAAACAGAGGGAAAAAUAAAACAGGCUGUGAUAACCAUAAUCUUGAAAGAAACAAAUAGCUGAAGAGGUUAAAUAUAUAUUGUUUAGGAAGAUCUCUUGGAGAGGGAAUCAUUUAAAGAGAGAUUUGAAUGAAGUGAGGG